CCGGGCGCACGGGUGAGUAACACGUAUCCAACCUGCCGUCUACUCUUGGACAGCCUUCUGAAGGAAGAUUAAUACAAGAUGGCAUCAUGAGUCCGCAUGUUCACAUGAUUAAAGGUAUUCCGGUAGACGAUGGGGAUGCGUUCCAUUAGGCAGUUGGUGGGGUAACGGCCCACCAAACCUUCGACGGAUAGGGGUUCUGAGAGGAAGGUCCCCCACAUUGGAACUGAGACACGGUCCAA
rnacentral:rRNA from 1 species